UACGGAGGGUGCAAGCGUUAAUCGGAAUUACUGGGCGUAAAGGGCACGUAGGCGGCCAGGUAAGUUAGCUGUGAAAGCCCCGGGCUCAACCUGGGAAUUGCAGUUAAUACUGCUUGGCUAGAGUCUGGUAGAGGGUGGUGGAAUUCCCGGUGUAGCGGUGAAAUGCAUAAAUAUCAAAAAAACACCAGUGGCGAAGGCGGCCACCUGGACCAAGACUGACGCUGAGGUGCGAAAGCGUGGGGAGCAAACAGG
rnacentral:misc_RNA from 1 species